UACGGAGGGUGCGAGCGUUGUCCGGAAUCACUGGGCGUAAAGAGCGUGUAGGCGGCCCGGUAAGUCCGCUGUAAAAGUCAAAGGCUCAACCUUUGAAUGUCAGUGGAUACUGCCGGGCUAGAGUCCGGAAGAGGCGAGUGGAACUCCUGGUGUAGCGGUGGAAUGCGCAGAUAUCAGGAAGAACACCAACGGCGAAGGCAGCUCGCUGGGACGGUACUGACGCUGAGACGCGAAAGCGUGGGGAGCGAACAGG
rnacentral:rRNA from 1 species